rnacentral:rRNA from 1 species
GCCCAGUGACUCUCUUAAACGGCCGCGGUAUCCUAACCGUGCAAAGGUAGCAUAAUCACUUGUCCCCUAAAUAGGGACUCGUAUGAACGGUCAAAUGAGGACUAAACUGUCUCUUACAUUCAACCAAUAAAACUGAUCUUUCAGUCAAAAAGCUGGAAUAAAAACACAAGACGAGAAGACCCUGUGGAGCUUUAAACCGAGCUCAAUCCCCAUGUCCACUCGGUUUUUAGUUGGGGCGACUUCGGAGUAUAAAAAACCCUCCGACAAAAAUAUAUCAAGACCAACAUGUCAACAUAUUUGACCUGACCCAGUAGCCCCCGAGCUAUCUGAUCAAUGAACCAAGUUACCCCAGGGAUAACAGCGCCAUCCCCUUUCAGAGUCCAUAUCGACAAGGGGGUUUACGACCUCGAUGUUGGAUCAGGACACCCAAAUAGUGCAGCCGCUAUUAAAGGUUCGUUUGUUCAACGAUUAAAGUCCUACGUGAUCUGAGGUUCAGACCG